CCGGGAAUGAUCCUUCGGGUGAAUGAAUGGUUGGAAAGUGGCGAACGGGUGAGUAACGCGUGGGUAACCUGCCCUAUGGAAAGGAAUAGCCUCGGGAAACUGGGAGUAAUGCCUUAUAAUAUACAGAAGUCGCAUGGCUUUUGUAUUAAACGCUCCGGUGCCAUAGGAUGGACCCGCGUCCCAUUAGCUAGUUGGUGAGAUAACAGCCCACCAAGGCGACGAUGGGUAACCGGUCUGAGAGGGCGAACGGUCACACUGGAACUGAGACACGGUCCAGACUCCUACGGGAGGCAGCAGUGGGGAAUAUUGCGCAAUGGGGGCAACCCUGACGCAGCAAUACCGCGUGAGUGAAGAAGGUUUUCGGAUCGUAAAGCUCUGUUAUUGGGGAAGAAAAAAGACGGUACCCAAGAAGAAAGUCCCGGCUAACUACGUGCCAGCAGCCGCGGUAAUACGUAGGGGACAAGCGUUGUCCGGAUUUACUGGGCGUAAAGGGCACGCAGGCGGUUUUUUAAGUCAGAUGUGAAAGGUACCGGCUCAACCGGUGACAUGCAUUUGAAACUGAAAGACUUGAGUAUU
rnacentral:rRNA from 1 species